UACAGAGGUCUCAAGCGUUGUUCGGAUUCAUUGGGCGUAAAGGGUGCGUAGGCGGCGCGGUAAGUCGGGUGUGAAAUCUCGGAGCUUAACUCCGAAACUGCAUUCGAUACUGCCGUGCUUGAGGACUGGAGAGGAGACUGGAAUUUACGGUGUAGCGGUGAAAUGCGUAGAUAUCGUAAGGAAGACCAGUGGCGAAAGCGACUUCCUGGACCAAUACUGACGCUCAUGUGCGAAAGCGUGGGGAGCAAACAGG
rnacentral:rRNA from 1 species